CUUGAUUACUCGCCAAACAGUCCAGUUUUCGUUUCCAUUUUGCCGUUAUAUAUAUCGCUCUUAAAAUUCAGCAUGCCGUCCGAUUGGAAAGACACACUAAGGAGAUUUGCUGGUUUCGCUGCAAGGUUUGAAUUCACAGCCAAUUUUGUCAUUUCGGGUUUAGGAUGGCUUCUACAAAAAACUGGAGGAGGUACAACCUUUCUAAAAUAUGCCAACAUAACAGUUAAAGUGGCGACUGUGACCGUCGGCGGUACUACGGUGAUCAUCUGCUCGUAUGAUCUGUUUGUUUGGCUGAAAACGCGGUUCGGCACAUCAACCGAAAAUACCCCGAUCAGGCUUUUAGAAGACAUGGAUGAGUUGCGACAACUUGUUCGCACAGGACAGCAUGAACCAAAUACAGUAUAUGCUAUAAAAGCAUAAGGUGGAUGUCAACAUGUUUGUCGGAAGUGUUUUGAAAUAUUGGGUGAAUAUGGAACUGAUUUACAAUCGCUUUUAAAUGAACUUAAUGAUCAAUACAAAAGUGUGAACAUUG